ensembl:snRNA U6 U6 spliceosomal RNA
AUGCUUGCUUUGGUAGCACAUAUACUAAAAUUGGAAUGAUACAGAGAAGACUAGCAUGGCCCCUGAGCAAGGAUGACAUACAAAGCUGUGAAAGAUAUUUCUUU